ACCCGCUGAACUUAAGCAUAUCAAUAAGCGGAGGAAAAGAAACCAACAGGGAUUGCCCUAGUAACGGCGAGUGAAGCGGCAACAGCUCAAAUUUGAAAUCUGGCGUCUUUGGCGUUCGAGUUGUAAUUUGCAGAGGGCGCUUUGGCAUUGGCAGCGGUCCAAGUUCCUUGGAACAGGACGUCACAGAGGGUGAGAAUCCCGUACGUGGUCGCUAGCCUUUACCGUGUAAAGCCCCUUCGACGAGUCGAGUUGUUUGGGAAUGCAGCUCUAAAUGGGAGGUAAAUUUCUUCUAAAGCUAAAUACUGGCCAGAGACCGAUAGCGCACAAGUAGAGUGAUCGAAAGAUGAAAAGCACUUUGGAAAGAGAGUUAAAAAGCACGUGAAAUUGUUGAAAGGGAAGCGCUUGCAGCCAGACUUGCCUGUAGUUGCUCAUCCAGGUUUCUACCUGGUGCACUCUUCUAUAGGCAGGCCAGCAUCAGUUUGGGCGGUUGGAUAAAGGUCUCUGUCAUGUACCUCUCUUCGGGGAGAACUUAUAGGGGAGACGACAUGCAACCAGCCUGGACUGAGGUCCGCGCAUCUGCUAGGAUGCUGGCGUAAUGGCUGUAAGCGGCCCGUCUUGAAACACGGACCAAGGAGUCUAACAUCUAUGCGAGUGUUUGGGUGUCAAGCCCGAGCGCGUAAUGAAAGUGAACGGAGGUGGGAACCUUUCGGGGUGCACCAUCGACCGAUCCUGAUGUCUUCGGAUGGAUUUGAGUAAGAGCAUAGCUGUUGGGACCCGAAAGAUGGUGAACUAUGCUUGAAUAGGGUGAAGCCAGAGGAAACUCUGGUGGAGGCUCGCAGCGGUUCUGACGUGCAAAUCGAUCGUCAAAUUUGGGCAUAGGGGCGAAAGACUAAUCGAACUAUCUAGUAGCUGGUUCCUGCCGAA
rnacentral:rRNA from 1 species